GAUGAAGAACGCAGCGAAAUGCGAUAAGUAAUGUGAAUUGCAGAAUUCAGUGAAUCAUCGAAUCUUUGAACGCACCUUGCACUCCUUGGUAUUCCGAGGAGUACGCCUGUUCGAGUGUUAUGAAGCUCUCAAAACGCAAUUGGCUUAAAACCUGAUUGUUGUUUUGGAUUUGAACUUUGCCGUGUUAUAACGGCUGGUUUUAAAAGUAUUAGCUGGUACUAGAACGAAUUGGUUCUACUCAACGUGAUAAUUAUCUGAUCGUUGAGGACAUUCCUUUCACGAGGAAUGGCCAUAGUAAAUUCAAUGGACUGCUUCAAUCUGGCUUUAAUUCUUUAUUGGAUUAACCACUUUUCAAAUCUGACCUCGAAUCAGGUGGGACUACCCGCUGAACUUAAGCAUAUCAAUAAGCGGAGGA
rnacentral:misc_RNA from 1 species